rnacentral:rRNA from 1 species
UACGAAGGGGGCUAGCGUUGUUCGGAAUUACUGGGCGUAAAGAGCGUGUAGGCGGCCAUACAGGUCAGCUGUGAAAACUCGAGGCUCAACCUCGAGACGUCGGUUGAAACCGUAUGGCUAGAGUCCGGAAGAGGAGAGUGGAAUUCCCGGUGUAGCGGUGAAAUGCGCAGAUAUCGGGAAGAACACCCGUGGCGAAGGCGGCUCUCUGGGACGGUACUGACGCUGAGACGCGAAAGCGUGGGGAGCGAACAGG